GACGUAGGUGGCGAACGUUAUCCGGAAUUAUUGGGCGUAAAGGGUGCGUAGGUGGCCUGACAAGUUAUCAGUGGCAAAUCGAGGCUCAACCUCGUGGAAACUGGUAAUACUGUCCGGCUUGAGUGCAGGAGAGGUUAACGGAACUCUAUGUGGAGGGGUAAAAUCCAUAGAUAUAUAGAUGAACAUCAAUAAAGGCGAAGGCAGUUAACUAUUCUGUUACUGACACUGAGGCACGAAAGCGUGGGGAGCAAAACGG
rnacentral:rRNA from 1 species